CACAACAGACAAGACACAACCACAUUAGCACACUAGACAUGAUCGCAAUGCUCCAAUGCCACUCCAUUGUUGCAUAAGUCUCUUGCGUUCAAUGUACGCAGAGGUGUGAUUGAAGAUAUCUUUGACGGUUCAUAUGGUAACAAAUUUGAUAAUAAAAUAUAAUUUCGAUCAAUUAAAUAAUGAAAUGACAGACACUAAUGGAUUGGUUAUAAGAAUGUUAUAAUCUAAAUGGACGUCACACCCAAAGGAAAAGUCAUCGUUGGACGUUCUUAUAUUAUUAAAUAUAAUAAUCAAAGGUCGUUUAACCGAUAAUCAUAAAAAAUCGUUAUGCAGCAUGCAGAUGAAGCUUACUACGUACUAGGUUAAAUGGAUACAUAUAUUAUUAUACAUACCCAUGGCCAGACCAUCAUCAUUUUUGUUAUUUACACAAAAGAUGUCUACGUAAUGAUAUUGGCAAUAAAAAUUAAAAAAAAAUUAAAAAAUUAAAAAAAAAA